GGCUGUUCUUAAUAAGCCUAACCUUGAAUUUUGAGUCAGGUCCUUCUCAACAAAAGGCUUGUAAAUAGAAUCCAUCAUCCUCAAAAAUAUUUUCAAGCUGAAUUGCAGGUGAACAGAAUGCUCUUCUUAAAUUUUGAUUCUUUUAAAAUGUUGAUU